rnacentral:rRNA from 1 species
UACGUAGGGUGCAAGCGUUAAUCGGAAUUACUGGGCGUAAAGCGUGCGCAGGCGGUUCGCUAAGACCGAUGUGAAAUCCCCGGGCUUAACCUGGGAACUGCAUUGGUGACUGGCGGGCUAAGAGUAUGGCAGAGGGGGGUAGAAUUCCACGUGUAGCAGUGAAAUGCGUAGAGAUGUGGAGGAAUACCGAUGGCGAAGGCAGCCCCCUGGGCCAAUACUGACGCUCAUGCA